rnacentral:rRNA from 1 species
GAUGAACGCUGGCGGCGUGCCUAAUACAUGCAAGUCGAGCGAACAGACGAGGAGCUUGCUCCUCUGACGUUAGCGGCGGACGGGUGAGUAACACGUGGAUAACCUACCUAUAAGACUGGGAUAACUUCGGGAAACCGGAGCUAAUACCGGAUAAUAUAUUGAACCGCAUGGUUCAAUAGUGAAAGACGGUUUUGCUGUCACUUAUAGAUGGAUCCGCGCCGCAUUAGCUAGUUGGUAAGGUAACGGCUUACCAAGGCAACGAUGCGUAGCCGACCUGAGAGGGUGGACGGCCACACUGGAACUGAGACACGGUCCAGACUCCUACGGGAGGCAGCAGUAGGGAAUCUUCCGCAAUGGGCGAAAGCCUGACGGAGCAACGCCGCGUGAGUGAUGAAGGUCUUCGGAUCGUAAAACUCUGUUAUUAGGGAAGAACAAAUGUGUAUGUAACUAUGCACGUCUUGACGGUACCUAAUCAGAAAGCCACGGCUAACUACGUG